GUCCUCUCCUGUGAGGAGGCGCACCCCGCUGCCUUGUUGCAGUGGCUAUAAAGGUAAGAAAUCAAGACUCAACUGGUGAGAUUAAUAAACCUGGGAUCUCAGCAACGUGGAAAGAAACAGGCCAGCAUCUUUGGGGAAAGGAUCUUCACAUGCCGUGGUGACCAGGUAACUGUGCACAGACUGAGCGGUGCUGAUGCCUAAUAAACUCAACCCCUUGCAUGCCAAAAUUGGCUUAAAGCCCAUCUGUUACCCAAGCUACACUUCAAGCAUCAAGGUUCAAAAAUGUGAUUUUAAAUAUGCAAGAGUUUGAGGAAUUCACUACUCACACUUUCUUGAACAGUCUAUCCAAGUGCAUCAAGCAAAACGUAAGUAAAGAAAUUUUGACCAAAGGAUUGAUAGUAAUGUUGAAUACAUUUAAUAGUAGAUCUAAGAUUAAAAGGUGAAAUUGAGGGUGAGAAGAGUGUAUGAAUGCUUUGUGUUCUGACAAAGAGAAUGUAGCACCCAGGUCCUACCUGCUUGGAUGCAUUGCCAGUGCCCACGGUAGGCCAUUUUAUCCAGGUUUUUAGGUUUUGAUUUGUUUUGUUUUGUUUUGUUUUUUUCUUUUCAGGAUAGUUAGUCCAAGACCAAUAACUCCAUAACUGGUAGAUUUGGAAGACUUUAAUAGUGCUUAACAUUUUGUACAUAGCUUUAUAACAGUUUUCUUUUUCUUUUUUUCUGAGAGAUUCUUUUCAAUAUACCCCAUCAUGGUUGAACUCAAAAAUCAUUGCUUAUUUAAAAUCUACAACUGCUGACGUUUUGUAACGUUCGCAUUCCAGGUAAUUGGUUUUUUGUGCAUUUUCUGUAUUUUUCUCCAUCAGUCUACCUAGAUAUUUGUUAGAUUUAAUAUUUUAAUAUUUUUCUGAAAAAGUGAGCUUUUGCCUUUUUAAAUAUAUACCCAGUUGCUUUAAUUUUGCUUUUUCGUGUACUAUUUCCUCGUUUUUUGUUUUUUGUUUUUUGUUUUUUUUUGACAAGAAGUCUUGCUCUGUCGCCCAAGCUGGAGUGCAGUCACGUGAUCUCUACUUACUGCAACUUCCACCCCCACGUUCAAGCAAUUCUCUCACCUCAGCCUCCCGAGUAGCUGGGAUUACAGAUGCA
rnacentral:lncRNA from 1 species